UACGUAGGGUGCGAGCGUUGUCCGGAUUUAUUGGGCGUAAAGAGCUCGUAGGCGGUUUGUUGCGUCGGCCGUGAAAACCUGCAGCUUAACUGUGGGCUUGCGGUCGAUACGGGCAGACUUGAGUUCGGUAGGGGAGACUGGAAUUCCUGGUGUAGCGGUGAAAUGCGCAGAUAUCAGGAGGAACACCGGUGGCGAAGGCGGGUCUCUGGGCCGAAAUUGACGCUGAGGAGCGAAAGCGUGGGGAGCAAACAGG
rnacentral:rRNA from 1 species